AUGACAUGACCGAACUAUCCUUUAAUAUAAGGGCCCGUUUGGUUCGAGUUAUGUAAUAUUACAAAGUAUCUCGACAUAUCCAGGUAUCUUGGAUUUCGGCGUGAGAUUACUACUAAUGUUACAUUAGAGCGUUUGGUUUAAUACAGUAAUGUAAUACUAGAUUACAGUGUUUAUAGCAUUAAUAUGUUUGGUUCAGUUUAUAAAAUUUAGUAAUCCUGACAUAAAAGUAUAGUUUUUUCCAAAAUUGUCCUUGUUGUGGUCAUUUGAAUAUUAUUUUUUACGGAAAUGACGAAUGGAGGGAAGGAGAUCGUGAUGAUUAUUUGGGAGGACGACGCAAUAGAAGAUGAUAGGUGUUCGUGUGUGAGAGAGAGAGAGAGAGAGAGAGAGAGAGAGAGAGACGUCCAGAGAGAGAGAGCGAGAGAAAGCGGUGUGCGAGAGAGAGGGCCGGGGGGAAGGCGAGAUAGAGAUGAAAAUAAUGCUGUUAAUUAGAUUUGGGGUUGUUGGAGGGUAAAAUUGUCAUUUUACAUAAUAUGUAGUAUUAACGGGUUUCAGUAAUGCAAGAUACACGACCCCCCUCCCAUUAAUAUUUUCGAUGUAAUCCUGCUCGAUUUGUAAUCCUACAUUAACAACUAGAUUACAUAGCGGAUUAACCAAACAUAGUUAUCCUGGCAGGAUUGCCUGUAAUCCUGCCAGGAUAACUCGAACCAAACGCACCCUAAGGGAUAAUUGACUAUAUACAUCUCAUACGUUUGAAAAUAUCCGAUUUAUUUCUAUUUUUUUUUCUUUCUAAAAUACCCCUUAUAUGUUCCACCGUUAUUACAAAAUAUCCCUACAGUUAUCUCCUGUUAAGUUAACUUGGGUUAAAUGUGAGUUAAAUAUCUAUCACAGUUAAAAAAAAUUAAAAUACCAAUUUUGCCCUUAACUUAAGGGCAAAUAAAAAUAUUGGUGACAGUAGAAGGGUAUAUUGGAAAAGACCAAAAGCCAAAAUACUUUUUGUACCCCUGACUUUAAGGGUAAAUAAGAAAGUCAAUGAUGAUGGAAAGGUAUAUUUGAAAGAGCAAAAUAGUAAUUUUACAGAGAUAACAGAGUUAAUUAACAGAUUUUAACUCUAGGGGUAUAUUAGAAAUAUGUUGGAACGUAGAAAGGGUAUUUUCAAUAUUAGCCUUCUAAGAAGGGUAAAUCAGAAAGUCGGAAACUUUUCAGGAGUAUAUAAGCAAUUGCCCCUUAAUAUAAAGUAGGGUUAAAUGCUUACACGUCCCAACAAAUAUGGUGAAUUGUAGAUAUAUCCCUGCAAAGCUCAACUUGUAUAAGUUAUUCCUACAAAAGUCCUAAUGUAUUUGGAUAUAUCCCUUUGGUUAAGAUCCGUUAGAGAGCUGUUAGUUUUUUAAUAGUAAAAUUGUAAAAUGACGAUUUUGCCCUUGCCCUUGCUCUUGCUCUGUUCCUGUUCCUGUUCCUGUUCCUCUUUAGGCUGCGAGAGUGUGGAUGGCGGCGGCGGCGGCGACGGCGACCUUACGGAGCUUGUCGGGGUUGCGGCCGACAAGGACGAGGAAUAGGCGGAAGGCGAAGAUGCCGCCGAUGCCGUCGUAGGCUCCCGUGACGACGGCCCACGCGGGCACCACGAUGGCGAUGAAGAAGAAGAAGAAGAAGGAGCAGAAGAUGAGGAGGAAAAGGAGGAUACGGAGAAGAAGAGGAAGAAGAAGAAGCAGGAGAGAAAGAGGAAGAGGAAAAUGAAGAGGAAGAAGAAAAAUGACAAAAUUAUCAAUUCACAUUAUUAAUUAAUCAUGGUUAAGUAUUUUAACUGUGGUUAACGAAAUUUCUCUAACAGAGAUUAACGGUAGAGAUAUAUCUGAAUACACUAGGACUUUUGCAGGGAUAACUUAUGAAAGUUGAGCUUUGCAGGAAUAUAUCUGCAAUUCACUAUAUUUGCAGGAACGUGUAUGCAAUUAACCCUAUAAAGUAAUAAUAAUAAUAAUAGAAGAUAUGAAUAUAAUUUGCUUCGAAAAUAUUAAUUUUCUAAUCAUAA
rnacentral:lncRNA from 1 species